rnacentral:rRNA from 1 species
GGGAAUUUUGGGCAAUGGGCGAAAGCCUGACCCAGCAACGCCGCGUGAGGGAUGAAGUAUUUCGGUAUGUAAACCUCGAAAGAAUGGGAAGAAUAAAUGACGGUACCAUUUAUAAGCUCCGGCUAACUACGUGCCAGCAGCCGCGGUAAUACGUAGGGAGCAAGCGUUGUUCGGAUUUACUGGGCGUAAAGGGCGCGUAGGCGGCGCGGUAAGUCACUUGUGAAAUCUCUGAGCUUAACUCAGAACGGCCAAGUGAUACUGCUGUGCUAGAGUGCGGAAGAGGCAACCGGAAUUCUUGGUGUAGCGGUGAAAUGCGUAGAUAUCAAGAGGAACACCUGAGGCGAAGGCGGGUUGCUGGGCCGACACUGACGCUGAUGCGCGAAAGCCAGGGGAGCAAACG